ACGUAUGCAUAUGUAAAUGCUUCCUCUGCUGAGCCCAGUGGAAGUAAUUGUAUGCAUUUUUAACUGGCCAAUCAACUGACAGGCAUAUUCUCUCUCUCUCUCUCUCUCUCUCUCACACUUUUUCUCUCUCUUCUUUACCCUGCUUCCCCCCACCUCUCUACUACAAACAGGCACACACACGCAUGCACACAUUCUCUCUUUUUUAUUUUUAGCUCUGUGCUUCCCCCUCCAGAUGCACAAGAAUCAUUAUAAGGUGCUGGUCUGCUAUGGGGUGAUUAGAAUGAAGAAAUAACUCUACGAAGCAAUACACCCUUCCUUCCCCUCCACACCCUUCUCUCCUUCUUUUUGGUGGUGUGUGUAUUCUCUCUUACUUCUGUUUUUUUUUCAGAUCUAUUGCAGGAGAUCUUGUGUUUCAUUGCAGUUUAUUCUUUUGCAUUGAGCUGUCCCAUUCUCAGCUGGAGAGGCUGUCUGAGGGGAUCUGAAAGGGACAUCGGCAGAAUGGCCAACUGCUGCCCAACCACUUCACUUAAUGCAACUGGCCAACCUCUUGACUGGAGUUGUGGAAAUGUAAAAUUCUUCCAAAACAAUCCAAGACUGAAUAAUCAUCUGAAAAACUGCUCUACAGCACCUACUGUGGCACCGGAUAUGUUAACAGAUAGCUGUAUAUAUGUAGCUUUAUUCUCUUGUUUGCAUGUUCUGUUAUUUUCUGUGUGUUUUAUUAUUUUAUUACCAAUUUAUAUUCAAAUAAAUUAGUUCAAAAGUUAUUAGCAUUGACUGAAAAUCUAUUCUUUUAUAUUAGAAUCAUCGCAGAACACCAUUCAGAAUUUCAAAAAGUAUCCUAAGCAUUACAAAAGAUAAUAUUUUUUCUAUACUUUCCAACUUGUACGGUUUAAACACUUUUUUUUUAAAACAAAUUUAAUAUAAUUUUAUGUCAUAUCUGUUAUGUUGGGUGUUCAGUUACUGGUUGUCCCUACUUUGGUUUUAUUACUAUAUCACCCUUUAAACCUUUAAAAUGUAUGUAUGGCUGUUCUAAAGACUUUAAGAAACCAUACAGAGAACUUUUGCAUUUUGUUUCUCCUCCUC
rnacentral:lncRNA from 1 species